CAGCGCUCGGGGAGUCCCGCUUCCGGGCGCCUCUGGUGGCCAAGGGGGCGCUGCGGCACUGAAUGUGAGCACGAGGGAAGGGGCUGGCUAACCUCCCCCAAGGAGACUGGCGGAGCCCCUUAUCACGCCCAGAGGAUCCCUCCAUGCCCAGGAUCGGCCGGUCGCCCCCCCCUCACCCCAAAGUCAAGCAAGGGUGCACUUUCCAGAGAGAACAACUUUGGCAAUAGGACCAAAGGGGUGCAGGACGCUAGAGACUCAGCUAGGAUGCAGGCACUCUGUGACACCAUCCAGACAAACGCAGGAGCCAGAUGACCUGGAAGGAUAAAGCUAGGAGUGUAUCCAUGCCUCGUCCAUCCACCUUCCAUAGAGUACACCGGACUAGGAUUGCCCCGAGCAAGUCAGCCACGGAAUUUACAGUUGACACAACAGAAGAGGAGCCAGGUGGCAUCUGGCUGCAGCUACCUGUCCCGGAAGUGCCUGGUGGUGGUCAAGUUCCAGGCAGGACCCUGAGUGGCCUGUAACGAUCGAUCAAUGGACAGAUGACCUUCAGGAACCAGCUACGGUUUGGUUUUUUUUUUUUUUUUUUUUUGUCCUGGUCAGGAGAGUUCUAUCCUUUAAUCACCGGAAGUUUCCGCCCAUGAUCAGAGUCAGCCAACAUUGCGGUCUGGGAACAGGGCGGUUACAUCUGUGGCGCUUGGAGCUGUGCCUGGCCCCGCAUCAAGCAGUCCUACUUAGCGGUUCUGCAUGGCUUGCAAACAAAGUGGGUUUGGUAACAAAGAAGCCCACGGCACCACACGGAAAAGCAGAGAGCCUUUAAAUUUCCCAGAACGGGAGCCUCUCACCAGACUGAAGUAGCCACCAGGUGAGGCACCUGGAGUUCUCCAAGGAUUUUCAAUUAAUCUUGGAAUGGUCGCUGGAGGCAAGAAGCCAGCGGCGCCUAAAGGAAUGAGAAAGUGCAAACUGAUCCAGAGGAAACAAAGGGCAGCGAGGGACCCCACAGCUGAGGCAGACGACACUGUGAGCGGCUCUGUCGGGAGGCUGGCGAGGCGUGCGCGCGCGGGUCUCUGCCUUAGCACCAUCUGCCGAUUCCUCAAGAGGACACAGAACAGACCAGCGAGCCAUGAAGAUUCGAUUAUGUAACGCGGGAGGAUUGCUUGUUUUCAAAAGGGAGACAAAUGGGAACGAAUUGAUUUGUUUGUCAAAGUCAUGGCCCCAAAGGAGACCAGUCCCCUCCUCUUCCUGGAGGAUUCAUCAAGGAAGGGGAGUGAUUUCACAGGCUCAGAAAAAAGGAGCCCAGGACUCACAGAGUCAGCUCAGAUGGUAACAGCAGCUCCUGGGCCGCAACGCGGUGAGCCACGUGGUAGAAGAAAAGAACCAACUUCAGCUAACAGUCCUCUGACCUCCAUAAGGGCACAUACCCACCCGCCGCGAAAUAAAUCCAUGCAAAACCAUAAUUCACUCCAUUCAUAAAAACGAGUCUAUUUCCAAAAUUGUGCUGGCAAACCUUUCUGGCUUCUCUGCUUGAGAAAUGACCAUUCCGCCGGUACCCAAAGGGCACAGCCAUAGAAUGGAACAUAAUUGGCACCCCCAACCCCAGCUUCAGAACCUGCCUGCUCUGUCUGACCUCUCUCGCUUGCUUUUAGGGAAGUAACAUCUGAUCUCAGAACCAGUGGGGGUCAUCUUACUAUUUCUAUUCUGAACUCUAGAAAGUGCUUUAGAGGCUAGGGGAUCUCUCUCUCUCUCUCUCUCUCUCUCUCUGUGUGUGUGUGUGUGUGUGUGUGUGUGUGUGUGUGUGUUAGUGUGUGUUAGUUGGUCCUUCCCUUCUACCAUGUGUCAGGGCACCAGCAACCAAACUCUGGUCAGCAAUAGCUAUCACCUAUGGCGACAUCUUGGUACCCUCUCACUUUCCUAUUCUUCUUCAUACUAUUCUGUCCUCGGUUUUGCUCCCUUGCCCUCCCUCGCCCUCCGGCUCUUGGGAGCAGCAGAAGACAGAGCAGAGGAUAAAGGUAGUGGUUCAGUAUCCCCAGCUCCUUCCCUGCCUCGGGUUGGCAGAGUCUUUGGAUAGAAGGUUGCCCCCUCUUCAAAGGAGCCUGGCCACUCGGGAGGCAGAGGC
rnacentral:lncRNA from 1 species